UAGGGAAUCUUCCACAAUGGACGCAAGUCUGAUGGAGCAACGCCGCGUGAGUGAAGAAGGCUUUCGGGUCGUAAAACUCUGUUAUUGAAGAAGAACGUGUGUGACAGUAACUGGUCAUGCAGUGACGGUAUUCAAUCAGAAAGUCACGGCUAACUACGUGCCAGCAGCCGCGGUAAUACGUAGGUGGCAAGCGUUGUCCGGAUUUAUUGGGCGUAAAGCGAGUGCAGGCGGUCUUUUAAGUCUGAUGUGAAAGCCUUCGGCUUAACCGAAGAAGGGCAUCGGAAACUGGGAGACUUGAGUGCAGAAGAGGAGAGUGGAACUCCAUGUGUAGCGGUGAAAUGCGUAGAUAUAUGGAAGAACACCAGUGGCGAAGGCGGCUCUCUGGUCUGUAACUGACGCUGAGGCUCGAAAGCGUGGGUAGCAAACAGGAUUAGAUACCCUGGUAG
rnacentral:rRNA from 1 species